rnacentral:tRNA from 2 species
GACCGGGUAGCUCAGUGGUAGAGCAGCGCACUUUUAAUGCGCGGGCCGCGGGUUCAAUCCCCGCCCCGGUCACCA